rnacentral:rRNA from 1 species
UGGGGAAUAUUGGACAAUGGGCGAAAGCCUGAUCCAGCAAUGCCGCGUGAGUGAUGAAGGCCUUAGGGUUGUAAAGCUCUUUUACCAGGGAUGAUAAUGACAGUACCUGGAGAAUAAGCUCCGGCUAACUCCGUGCCAGCAGCCGCGGUAAUACGGAGGGAGCUAGCGUUGUUCGGAAUUACUGGGCGUAAAGCGUACGUAGGCGGUGACUCAAGUCAGAGGUGAAAGCCUGGAGCUCAACUCCAGAACUGCCUUUGAAACUAGGUCGCUAGAAUCACGGAGAGGUGAGUGGAAUUCCGAGUGUAGAGGUGAAAUUCGUAGAUAUUCGGAAGAACACCAGUGGCGAAGGCGGCUCACUGGACGUGUAUUGACGCUGAGGUACGAAAGCGUGGGGAGCAAACAGGAUUAGAUACCCAUGUAGUCCCUGAGCGGGCUGGCAAGGCGCAU